rnacentral:rRNA from 1 species
GACGAACGCUGGCGGCGUGCUUAACACAUGCAAGUCGAGCGAUGAAGUUCCUUCGGGAAUGGAUUAGCGGCGGACGGGUGAGUAACACGUGGGUAACCUGCCUCAUAGAGGGGAAUAGCCUUUCGAAAGGAAGAUUAAUGCCGCAUAAGAUUGUAGUAUCGCAUGAUACAGCAAUUAAAGGAGUAAUCCGCUAUGAGAUGGACCCGCGUCGCAUUAGCUAGUUGGUGAGGUAACGGCGCACCAAGGCGACGAUGCGUAGCCGACCUGAGAGGGUGAUCGGCCACAUUGGGACUGAGACACGGCCCAGACUCCUACGGGAGGCAGCAGUGGGGAAUAUUGCACAAUGGGGGAAACCCUGAUGCAGCAACGCCGCGUGAGUGAUGACGGUCUUCGGAUUGUAAAACUCUGUCUUCAGGGACGAUAAUGACGGUACCUGAGGAGGAAGCCACGGCUAACUACGUGCCAGCAGCCGCCGUAA